UAUAUAAAUAGCUGCAAGAUUUUCUGUACUAAGGUAGCAUAAUCAUUAGCUUUCUAAUUAAAAGAUAGAAUGAAAGGUUAAACGAAAUACUUUCUGUCUUUAAUAUCAAAUAUAAAAUUAAAAUAAAAGUAAAAAUUCUUUUUAAAACAAGAAGGACGACAAGACCCUGAUAAACUUACUCAUUUUGCUGGGGCGGCAACACAAAAAAACCUUAUUUUUCAGCACUAUAAACAUAUCUAAUAAUAAUUAAAUAAGAUAUAGUUACUACAGGGAUAACAGCGCAAUCUUUUUUUAAAGAACUUAUCAAAAAAAAGCUUUACGACCUCGAUGUUGAAUUAAUUUUACCUUUUAAGAGCAAAAUCCUUAACAAGAAGGUC
rnacentral:rRNA from 1 species